rnacentral:rRNA from 1 species
ACUUGCUUUCUUUGCUGGCGACCGGCGCACGGGUGAGUAACACGUAUCCAACCUGCCCUUUACUCGGGGAUAGCCUUUCGAAAGAAGGAUUAAUACCCGAUAGUAUAAUGAUUCCGCAUGGUUUCAUUAUUAAAGGAUUCCGGUAAAGGAUGGGGAUGCGUUCCAUUAGGUUGUUGGUGAGGUAACGGCUCACCAAGCCUUCGAUGGAUAGGGGUUCUGAGAGGAAGGUCCCCCACAUUGGAACUGAGACACGGUCCAAACUCCUACGGGAGGCAGCAUG